ACCACGAGGAAACUGUUUAGGGCAAAAUCAGCAAUGGAGCUGUUUCUAAUAAUUAAUAAAUUAAAAUAAAAGCAGUAAUAAUUGCAAUGUUACUUUUGCAUUCCUAAGAAUAACACUGAUGUUCUCCACUUUGACAUUUGUAAAACACUCUGGAUUAGAGCAUCUGCUAAAUGAAUGAAAUAUAAUAAUAAUAAUAAUAAUAAUAACAAUAAUAAUAAUAAUAAUAUGCUACAUUUGAAAGCACGCACACACACACACACACACACACACACAUAUAUAUGAUAGAGAUGUGCAUUCAGAUUGCAAAAGGCCAAGUUUUUGUGGUUUUCUGCAUGUAAAAAAAGUACGGCACCUUAAGCCUUAAAAAGAGUCCUGCUGAGAAACAUGUCAGCAGAAUAAAAGAGACAACAAUGGACGACAGCAUUCAAUAAGAAGCCCCCCCCCCCCCCAAAAGGUCAACAGAGUGUUCCAGGAGAAAAUGUGUUUGGAUGCGACAAUCGUUGAAAAAUCAGACAAGGUCCCCUGACUCUCGUGCCUGAUCUUUAUGUUAAGCCAACGUUUCCCUGGGGUUCACAUAUUAACCUUUUCCCAGAAAAAAGCUGAUUUUUCAAUUGAUUUCAAACCCCAAUUUCAUAUUCAUGGCAUCAUACGGCAAUUUUAAUGUAAACAACCUGAUCAUUUUCCGUAAACACCUUUUUAGUACAUUUCCCUUUGAUGCAUAAUGAACUGUGCGUGGGUGUAUAUGGACAUUUUUUACAUACACCCUCACUCUCGUAUUAUUGUAUUGCUGAGGCCUUAUAAAAAAAUGAAUGAUCGUUUUAAAUUAUAGAGACACCUUUGAAGGUAUUGUGAGAUAAAUGUUAUUAAAUAUGUAUUCAGCUUCAUCUGUUUUUUAAUGCUCUGUCUGUCAAGGGCUUGUUCCUCCGUAUAAAUAUUCGUUACAUGAAAGCAUGAUUAAUAUUUGUUAGAUGAAUACAGAAAGAUAAAAAAAAAUCAAUGUUCCAUGACUGGUAGGGCAGGGUAACUAAUUCUCAAGGUCUGGUGUAUAAGGUUUUCACUAAUGAGCCUGUUAAAAAAAAAGAUAAAAAAAUAAAAAUAAAAAAUACUCUCCAGCCCUCACCUUGUGUACAAGAAACGUGUGGAUCAAUUAGGGCCCUGGGAUUUGACAUCUGACAUUUUUUUCAUUCCUUUGCCUCUUUUAUUCUUCAGCCUGCAGCAAUACUGCAAUCAUCAGUGCAUUAUUUCAAAUGCUGCAGGUCCCAGUCGCAGCCCCCCGUUCAUCUAUUAAUGAAGAGGAAGCUCUUCAGGUGCAGCAUUGAUUUACAGUGCUCGCCUCGUCCUUUUCGUUUGCUCCAGGAUUAUUUAUUUAUUUAUUUAUUUAUUUCUUUAUUUAUUUAUUUGUUCGUUCAUUUAUUUAUUUAUCUGGGAUGUCCUCGCAUCCGGACUGACUUACGGGGUACGGGGCGCUUCGACGAAUGACCGGCAAAGAGAAUAGCGGCGGAAUAAUUGCGCGUGUCGUGCGCAGCAUGUAAUGUGUGGCUGGGUCCAGCGCAAACACCGAGCCUACAGUUACUCGAGAGCAAUGGUCCUCCAGAACGUUAAAUUAACACGCACGCCAUGGUAACUGAGAAUGACAUCAGCUUAUGUCAUAACCUUCAGUUGGUGACACCGCUGCGGUUUCUACCCGGUGUCAUGCAUUAUUUACGAGUUACAUUCACUGAGGGAUGUCAUACCCUCACGCUAAAGCAACAUGGAUGGGGCCUUUAAUCUUUGUACAGGUCUGACGGGCUGCUGCUCCACACUUUGGUGCAUCCAAAUCUAAUGUAGACCUUGAUUGGACAGCGGACAGCAUUUCAUCACAGGUGAUGUGAUUGUGAUAAAACAGUGUGAUUAAAGGUGAUCACAGAACAGUACAGGAUACAAGGUUGAACGUUUAGUGGUAAUACUUAAAUAAUAAAAAAAAUAAAUUACAAUACAAAAUUAUUUUAAGUGCAUUGGAUUGGUUAUCACAACAGAAAGCAAGAAUAAUGUUUUUAACUGGGUCUGAGAAUGACUAGGAGGAUAUUGAAAGAAGCAAAGCAAUUAAUAAUCAUAACAAGGUCAGAGAGGAAUCAGAAAAGCCUUACGGCAGAAAUAUCACAUCACAGUUUGAAACCCUUGUGUUAAUGAUAUAGCACCCACAUAUUUUCCAAUAUCUCACAUUACAAGGGCCAUGCAUUAUCUUCAGUCAGGUGCUUUUGCAUGUAAUUCAGUCCUCCAGGGGCAAGAUGGCAGUACACCGUGACAGUUGUGCAAGUGGGAAGCCGGUGGUGAAGGAGAAGGCUGCUUUCAUCCUUGCAGCAACAGAUGGGGCUGUUUCAGCUGAACCAGAUCUAUCCACUCCUGAAAAGAGACCCCCCCCCACCCCCCUCUAGCCCAUUCCACCCCCUCCCUGCUGUGAUACAGACAGGCAGCACUGGAACCCCUGCCUGUGGUUUUAAUUACUGACAGUAACCUGGGGAAGCAGUGGGGCGGACAUGCCGUGGCUGAACUUUGAUGUUCUCCAAGAGGCCAAGCAACUCAGAGAAUGAGGAGGAACAAAGGGACACUGACAUUGUGUAAUUGCAACCUGAGAGAUGGAUUCUUGACACACGGUCAUACUCGAAUGAAGAUUUUUCUCUUUUUUUUGUGAUCUGUGAGUCCAGCUCUCCAUUGCCAUUCUGUGGGCACCGUCACAGCAGAAAGAGCUUUUUCACCAAGAUGAACUGCUCUGCCUGUGUAGAGGACUGCACUUGUUACUGUCCCACUUGAGCAGAACUGCUAAAACUUGUUAAACUUAAAAAAAACUGUUUCUUAAUGCAUUCUGAAAUACAUUCUCCUCAAGGCUCCACUGAUUUGCUCCCAACUAUUUUUGAUUGGAAAAUACCUGUAAUUUGCCCACAAGCGAAUACAGUUACAAAUAAUCCUGAAAUAAAAUGAACAGUGUAUGGAAUUUGAGAAAUAAUAACAUGAGGCAUUAUGAAC